rnacentral:rRNA from 1 species
AACGAACGCUGGCGGCAGGCCUAACACAUGCAAGUCGAACGCACCGCAAGGUGAGUGGCGCACGGGUGAGUAACACGUGGGAAUGUACCCUUUGGUUCGGAAUAACGUUUGGAAACGAACGCUAAUACCGGAUGAGCCCUGCGGGGAAAGAUUUAUCGCCAAAGGAGCAGCCCGCGUCUGAUUAGCUAGUUGGUGGGGUAAAGGCCUACCAAGGCGACGAUCAGUAGCUGGUCUGAGAGGAUGAUCAGCCACACUGGGACUGAGACACGGCCCAGACUCCUACGGGAGGCAGCAGUGGGGAAUAUUGGACAAUGGGCGCAAGCCUGAUCCAGCCAUGCCGCGUGAGUGAUGAAGGCCUUCGGUUGUAAAGCUCUUUCGCACGCGACGAUGAUGACGGUAGCGUGAGAAGAAGCCCCGGCUAACUUCGUGCCAGCAGCCGCGGUAAU